GGGGAAAAGUGGGCAGGGAUGUAUAGUCUUGAUGCUGGCAGUCUUUUCUGGACUUGCAUGUGCUCAGUCUGCGCUCAUUCCCACUCACACCUGUGCACCUAUUAAAAAAGAGGAACGAGGGAGGACUUGGAUCUUAUUAGAUAGAUUUGUAAAAGAAUCUUCGAACAGUUCAAUAAUCUCUUCUCUUUUUAUAAUAUAUAAACACUAUUGUUUGUGUAGAAUGUACUUGCCUCUUUGUAGGUGAUUAAAAAAUAUACAACUUUCAACAACGGAUCUCUUGGCUCUCGCAUCGAUGAAGAACGCAGCGAAAUGCGAUAAGUAAUGUGAAUUGCAGAAUUCAGUGAAUCAUCGAAUCUUUGAACGCACCUUGCACUCCUUGGUAUUCCGAGGAGUAUGCCUGUUUGAGUGUCAUGUUAAUCUCAAUUAAACAUGUAUAAUUUUUUUUGUAUGUGUUGAAUUGGACUUGGAGUCUGCUGGCGAGAGUCGGCUUCUCUUGAAUACAUUAGCUGGGCUUUUGCUCGAGUAAUUGGUGUAAUAGUUCAUUACAAUUCACCGUUUGCACUUGCUUAGAGAGUCUGCUCCUAAUCGUCUUGUAACAAAGACAAUGAAAAGUUAGUGUCGUUGUACACUUUUUCUUUUUGACCUUUGACCUCAAAUCAGGUAGGACUACCCGCUGAACUUAAGCAUAUCAAUAAGCGGAGGA
rnacentral:rRNA from 1 species